rnacentral:lncRNA from 1 species
ACCAUUUUAAAAUAUCACACAUGGCACCCAAAAUAUCACGGUCGGUUCGGCACCGGGAAUAAUUAAGCAAUUGGUUGAUAACAGUGUAUAUCGGAAGGUUGUGAAUAAAACUAUAGACUAACAUAGUGUGGAAAAUAUUACAAGAGUUACGCGCAAAGAAAAACGCGUAGAAUGAAGCUCAUCUUCUCAGGAAGCUCAAGGACGUAGAGGUACAUAUAUAGACCCCAGUUUUUGAGCACUUGAAUAAUUUUCAAAUAAACUUGUGUAGGUUGCGAUGAAUAUGAAGUUAAUUUGAGGAUACAGGUACAUGCUUUGUGUUUGAUUAGCAAAUUGCCAGAUAGUUUGAAGAUUCUUGUUGUGUCUCUUAGUCUUACUAAUUCCACAGUCCACGUCUGAUGGUGCUCUCUUUGAAGAUGGUAUGUUAAAUGAAUGGUGAUAUAAUAUCUUUUCAAGAAAAUGAUGUGAGAUCCUGCAGUGAAGAAAUAAGGAGAUAUCUUUCUAUAUUGAAAUAUCAGUUGAGAAAAUCAUAGGCAAAUUCCUGAAUUGCCCCGUAAGAAUGUGAAGUAGACAGGAGCAAGGUCUAACGGCACAAGAUCGUAUGCUAAUUGAUUAGUGCCGAGGAAAGAACAGAAGCAAAAAGUCAUAGAAUAAGUUGCAUUAAAAAGUCAAGCCAAAGAAAAUUCUUUA